rnacentral:rRNA from 1 species
UCCCUUAGAUGUUCUGGGCCGCACGCGCGCUACACUGAUGCAUUCAACGAGCCUAUCCUUGACCGACAGGUCCGGGUAAUCUUUGAAUCUGCAUCGUGACGGGGAUAGAUUAUUGCAAUUAUUAAUCUUCAACGAGGAAUGCCUAGUAGGCGCAAGUCAUCAGCUUGCGUCGAUUACGUCCCUGCCCUUUGUACACACCGCCCGUCGCUCCUACCGAUUGGGUGUGCUGGUGAAAUGUUCGGAUCGGCCGUUUGUCGCGGUUUCCGCGGCUCGUGGCUGAGAAGUUCAUUAAACCCUCCCACCUAGAGGAAGGAGAAGUCGUAACA